rfam:Oryza barthii chromosome 5, whole genome shotgun sequence.
AAAAAGAUAAACCCUGAAUUUAUGUGUUCAACGUUUGACCGUCCGUCUUAUAUGAAAUUUUUUUAUAAUUAAUAUUUUUAUUAUUGUUAGAUGAUAAAACAUGAUUAAUACUUUAUGCGUGACUUGUCUUUUUAAAAUUUUUUCAUAAUUUUUUCAAAAAAGACGGAUGGUCAAGCGUUGGACACGGAAACCCAGGGUUUAUCUUUUU